rnacentral:rRNA from 1 species
UACGUAGGGGGCAAGCGUUGUCCGGAAUCAUUGGGCGUAAAGAGCGUGUAGGCGGUCCGACAAGUCGGGGGUGAAAUCCUGCAGCUUAACUGCAGAAGUGCCUUCGAUACUGUCGGUCUUGAGGGAGAUAGGGGUGUGCGGAACUUCCAGUGGAGCGGUGAAAUGCGUUGAUAUUGGAAGGAACGCCGGAGGCGAAAGCGGCGCACUGGAUCUCUACUGACGCUGAGGCGCGAAAGCCAGGGGAGCAAACGGG